CCUACGGGCGGCUGCAGUGAGGAAUAUUGGUCAAUGGUCGGGAGACUGAACCAGCCAAGCCGCGUGAGGGAUGAAGGUACAGAGUAUCGUAAACCUCUUUUGUCAGGGAACAAAGGCGGGGACGUGUCCCCGGAUGAGUGUACCUGAAGAAAAAGCAUCGGCUAACUCCGUGCCAGCAGCCGCGGUAAGACGGAGGAUGCGAGCGUUAUCCGGAUGUAGUGGGGUUAAAGGGUGCGCAGGCGGGCUGUUAAGUCAGCGGUCAAAGCCCGGGGCUCACCCCCGGCCCGCCGUUGAAACUGGCAGUCUCGCGUUGGCGAGAAGUAUGCGGACUGCGCGGUGUAGCGGUGAAAUGCAUAGAUCUCGCGCAGAACUCCGAUUGCGACGGCAGCAUGCCGGCUCCACACUGACGCUGAGGCACGAAAGCGUGGGUAUCGAACAGGAUUAGAUACCCCGGUAGUC
rnacentral:rRNA from 1 species